rnacentral:misc_RNA from 1 species
UGUGAGAUUAGACUGUAUGAAUUGGAUGAUAUAGAUUAUGAUAGU